rnacentral:lncRNA from 1 species
GGGUGUCAUCAUCUGCAUUCAACUUUAAAAAACUCGAGCUACUUACACUUGUUAACACAAAUAUUAUCAUUAAUCUUUGAAAUAUAGGUAUAAUAAAUAUUAUGUAAAUUUAAAAAAUUUAUAUUUCUAUGUCAUAUACUUCAUGAAGUUAAUCUUGUAUACAAACCAUGACCUCGAUGGUAGAUAGAUUUAAAGAACUUUGAUAUUGAUCUACAAC